rnacentral:rRNA from 1 species
UAGGGAAUAUUGCUUAAUGGGCGAAAGCCUGAAGCAGCAACGCCGCGUGUGCGAUGAAGGCCUUCGGGUUGUAAAGCACUUUUUGUUGGGAAGAGGAAGGACGGUACCAGCAGAAUAAGCCUCGGCUAACUACGUGCCAGCAGCCGCGGUAAAACGUAGGAGGCGAGCGUUAUCCGGAUUUACUGGGUGUAAAGCGUGUGCAGGCGGUUUGUUAAGAUGGGUGUGAAAGCUCCUGGCUCAACUGGGAGAGGUCGCCCAUGACUGGCAGACUAGAGAGCAGUAGGGGAAGGUGGAAUUCCGGGUGUAGUGGUGAAAUGCGUAGAUAUCCGGAGGAACACCAGUGGCGAAGGCGGCCUUCUAGGCUGUAUCUGACGCUCAGACACGAAAGCUAGGGUAGCAAACGGG